rnacentral:rRNA from 1 species
AUACGGAGGAUCCGAGCGUUAUCCGGAUUUAUUGGGUUUAAAGGGUGCGCAGGCGGCCAUUUAAGUCAGCGGUUAAAUCGUGGGGCUCAACCCCAUUCUGCCGUUGAUACUGGGUGGCUUGAUUGCGGUCGAGGUUGGCGGAAUUCGUUGUGUAGCGGUGAAAUGCAUAGAUAUGACGAAGAACACCGAUUGCGUAGGCAGCUGACCAGACCGCAAAUGACGCUCAUGCACGAAAGUGCGGGGAUCGAACAGGAUUAGAUACCCUGGUAGUCCGCACAGUAAGCGAUGAAUACUUGUUUUCGGCGAUAUAAUGUCGGAGGCAAAGCGAAAGCGAUAAGUAUUCCACCUGGGGAGUACGCCGGCAACGGUGAAACUCAAAUGAAUUGACGGGG